UUCCAGUCAAAAAAAGGUAAAUCCGACCACAAACGGUCCAUUAUAUUAUGCGGCUGAACAAAAAGAGCGUUUGAUUUUAUACAUUGAUUGGAUAAGCUGAAACUCGAAUAUACAUGCAGUGGCGGAGCGAGGUAGAGACCUCUGGGUGAAUUUAUAUUACACUUAGAGAAAGAAGAAAGAACACAGUGUGAUGAUUGAUUUUAUACUUUCUAUGAUUUAUUUGGAUGGAAAUUUUUAGAGUGCCCCCUCACGAUGUAUGUUCUGGCUCCGCCAAUGUAUACAUGUACUUUAUACAUAAGGUACAUAAGAAACUCAGGUACUAGAUUUUCCAAUGCUCCAAUGCUUGCUAUCAGUCCCGAAAACGAAAGCCCCUGCAGAAAUACAAAUGCGAGACGAAAUUCAAUUUACUAAAGUAAAACAUAAAGUUUGCGUUAAAAAAACGGUUUCUAUGAUGUGAUCAUGAGCAUGCUAAAUACUAAAUUUCAUGAAUUUGACUCAUUUUGAGUGGAUCCUAUACUCUGCAUAUACAAAAAUUAUAUCAAUCAAAAUAAACUAAAUGCAUAGAAUUUAACGCUUAACAUAUGACCAUGACACACACCAGAUAAACUGUUAAAAAAUUCAUGUCGAAAAGAUGGAAAGGAUCGUGGAUAACAUAAAAUUACAUACCUAGGGUAGGCAUCACAACAGAUAACACCACAAUUCCAGCAAAUUUCAGCGGAAUCCCGGUCUUGAGCAUAUCUUUGAGAUCAAUGUGUCCUGUGGUGAACCCUAUUACAUUCGAAGGAGUUCCUGUCGGAAGGAGGAAGGCAAGCUGUGCUCCUAUUGAACCGGGAAGCAUAAGGAGCAGUGGAUGGACGUGCAUUGUUUUUGCGAUUUCUAUCAGAAGCGGGAGAACUAGAGUUGUGGUAGCAUUAUUUGAUGUGAUGAACUCGGUCAGUGUUGCACAUAUGAGACAGACUGCAGGAGCCAUGGCUAAGUAGGGAACUUGCUCUAAGAAAUCUAAGGCUUUUGAUAGUACGUUAGUGAGUCCACUUGUUUGGACUCCCUCGGCUAAGGCUAAUCCGGCUCCUAGUAGUAAUACAAUACCCCAUGGAAGUUUUUUGCAUUUGUUCCAGUCCAUUAGUUUCUCACCUGGUUGUUUCUUAUUUGGAAUUAUGAACAGCAGAGUUGCCAUCAUAACCUAUACAGAUGAACCGUUGCUAUGUAUCAAAAACAUUGUACAGCGAAAGGGGAUUUCAGAGUUUAGUUAGCUUAUCACCAGAAGGAAUGCAGGAAUGCAGGAAUGCUUAAUGCUCAUCUUAAUACUUAUACUUGGGGAGGAUGCGAGGCGUAUCACUGACACUGAACUUAACCCGAUAUACAGUCAUCAGUCUCAUCCCUCUUAUAGUGAACACUACUACUUAAAUUGAGAUGUUCUUGAAUACAUCAGUCUUUAUUUCUAAAUGAUUAGUCUCAAUAUAUUCAUUUGAAUUAUGUGUUAUUUUAAGAUUUACGAAUACUCACACUAACUGUUCCAUCUCCUGCACGACCGUUAAACAGAGCACCCCAUCCUGGAAUGUCAUCUGUUAUACUCCUCGUCAUCCACAGAAAAAUCAAAAUCUGAAAAUAAAAAGACCCGUAUAUCAUAAAUGCACAUAGAUUUUUUUCUGAUACUAAGAAGUUCACUUGCUACAAAAUCACGUAUUGUCACAGUACCGAAAAUAUGGUCAAUAUCAUCUUCUCAGCAAAAGCCAUUGGACCUGUGUACAAGUCAUGAAACAUCAUUUUUAUAUAGCACCUACUCUCAAAUUUGUAAUUAAAUUUGGGCACUUACCUAGCAUAUCAAGCUCCCUCUUCAAAUGGGAUUUAUCAAGAUAAGUAGAAAGAGUUGGACCUGAACCCUUUGGUACAAACCAUAAGCAAAGAAUGAUCCACAUAGCGAAGAAAAUGAAUAGAGCCAACGGGAACCCGAAAAGAAUAUAAGUGCUGAAUGUAAUAGGAUCGGCUUCUGGAAAGUAACUUUUCCACAUUCCAACCAAUAUCAGAUUAACACCUGUCCCAGUGAGUGUGCUUAUACCUCCAAUUGUUGCAGAGUAUAUUACACCUAAAACGACAGCUUUGCAGAACUUGGUAGUUACAACGUCGGAUCGUGGACCAGUUGGGAAUCUCUGUAAUAUACCAGUUGCUACCGGCAUCAUCAUUAAAGCUACUGCUGUGUUGUGCAUCCACAUGCUGAUGAAUGCUGUUGUGCCACAUAUUCCUAGCAGUAGUAUUUGUGGGUUCAGUGGUUCCCCGCUGAAUAAUACUGUUAUCUGCAUAAUGUGGUAGGAAAAUGACACUUUAAACUUGCGGGCUCGAGUGUUNGGAUGGAAAUUUUUAGAGUGCCCCCUCACGAUGUAUGUUCUGGCUCCGCCAAUGUAUACAUGUACUUUAUACAUAAGGUACAUAAGAAACUCAGGUACUAGAUUUUCCAAUGCUCCAAUGCUUGCUAUCAGUCCCGAAAACGAAAGCCCCUGCAGAAAUACAAAUGCGAGACGAAAUUCAAUUUACUAAAGUAAAACAUAAAGUUUGCGUUAAAAAAACGGUUUCUAUGAUGUGAUCAUGAGCAUGCUAAAUACUAAAUUUCAUGAAUUUGACUCAUUUUGAGUGGAUCCUAUACUCUGCAUAUACAAAAAUUAUAUCAAUCAAAAUAAACUAAAUGCAUAGAAUUUAACGCUUAACAUAUGACCAUGACACACACCAGAUAAACUGUUAAAAAAUUCAUGUCGAAAAGAUGGAAAGGAUCGUGGAUAACAUAAAAUUA
rnacentral:lncRNA from 1 species